rnacentral:rRNA from 1 species
GAUGAACGCUGGCGGCGUGCCUAAUACAUGCAAGUCGAGCGAACGGACGAGAAGCUUGCUUCUCUGAUGUUAGCGGCGGACGGGUGAGUAACACGUGGAUAACCUACCUAUAAGACUGGGAUAACUUCGGGAAACCGGAGCUAAUACCGGAUAAUAUUUUGAACCGCAUGGUUCAAAAGUGAAAGACGGUCUUGCUGUCACUUAUAGAUGGAUCCGCGCUGCAUUAGCUAGUUGGUAAGGUAACGGCUUACCAAGGCAACGAUGCAUAGCCGACCUGAGAGGGUGAUCGGCCACACUGGAACUGAGACACGGUCCAGACUCCUACGGGAGGCAGCAGUAGGGAAUCUUCCGCAAUGGGCGAAAGCCUGACGGAGCAACGCCGCGUGAGUGAUGAAGGUCUUCGGAUUGUAAAACUCUGUUAUUAGGGAAGAACAUAUGUGUAAGUAACUGUGCACAUCUUGACGGUACCUAAUCAGAAAGCCACGGCUAACUACGUGCCAGCAGCCGCGGUAAUACGUAGGUGGCAAGCGUUAUCCGGAAUUAUUGGGCGUAAAGCGCGCGUAGGCGGUUUUUUAAGUCUGAUGUGAAAGCCCACGGCUCAACCGUGGAGGGUCAUUGGAAACUGGAAAACUUGAGUGCAGAAGAGGAAAGUGGAAUUCCAUGUGUAGCGGUGAAAUGCGCAGAGAUAUGGAGGAACACCAGUGGCGAAGGCGACUUUCUGGUCUGUAACUGACGCUGAUGUGCGAAAGCGUGGGGAUCAAACAGGAUUAGAUACCCUGGUAGUCCACGCCGUGAACGAUGAGUGCUAAGUGUUAGGGGGUUUCCGCCCCUUAGUGCUGCAGCUAACGUAUUAAGCACUCCGCCUGGGGAGUACGACCGCAAGGUUGAAACUCAAAGGAAUUGACGGGGACCCGCACAAGCGGUGGAGCAUGUGGUUUAAUUCGAAGCAACGCGAAGAACCUUACCAAAUCUUGACAUCCUUUGACAACUCUAGAGAUAGAGCUUUCCCCUUCGGGGGACAAAGUGACAGGUGGUGCAUGGUUGUCGUCAGCUCGUGUCGUGAGAUGUUGGGUUAAGUCCCGCAACGAGCGCAACCCUUAAGCUUAGUUGCCAUCAUUAAGUUGGGCACUCUAAGUUGACUGCCGGUGACAAACCGGAGGAGGGUGGGGAUGACGUCAAAUCAUCAUGCCCCUUAUGAUUUGGGCUACACACGUGCUACAAUGGACAAUACAAAGGGCAGCGAAACCGUGAGGUCAAGCAAAUCCCAUAAAGUUGUUCUCAGUUCGGAUCGUAGUCUGCAACUCGACUACAUGAAGCUGGAAUCGCUAGUAAUCGUAGAUCAGCAUGCUACGGUGAAUACGUUCCCGGGUCU